GAUGAACGCUGGCGGCGUGCCUAAUACAUGCAAGUCGAGCGAACGGUCGAGAAGCUUGCUUCUCUGAUGUUAGCGGCGGACGGGUGAGUAACACGUGGAUAACCUCCCUAUAAGACUGGGAUAACUUCGGGAAUCCGGAGUUAAUACCGGAUAUUAUUUUGAACAGCAUGGUUCAAAAGUGAGAGACGGUCUUGCUGUCACUUAUAGAUGGAUCUGCGCUGCAUUAGAUAGUUGGUAAGGUAACGGCUUACGAAGGCAACGAUGCAUAGCCGACCUGAGAGGGAGAUUGGCCACACUGGAACUGAGACACGGCCCAGACACCUACGGGAGGCAGCGGUAGGGAAUCUUCCGCAAGGGACGAAAGCCUGACAGAGCAACGCCGCGUAAGUGAUGAAGGACUUCGGAUCGUAGAACGCUGUAAUAAGGGAAGAACAUAUGUGUAAGUAACUGUGCACAACUUGACGGUACCUAAUCAGAAAGCCACGGCUAACUACGUG
rnacentral:rRNA from 1 species